rnacentral:piRNA from 1 species
UGGGGUGUGCUCAGAGCAGGGGGUCUGA